rnacentral:rRNA from 1 species
AUACGUAGGGAGCGAGCGUUGUCCGGAAUUACUGGGUGUACAGGGAGCGUAGGCGGGAGUGCAAGUCAGAUGUGAAAUACAUGGGCUCAACCCAUGGGCUGAAUUUGAAACUGCAUUUCUUGAGUGAAGUAUCGGACAGCGGAAUUCAUGGAGAAGCGGUGAAAUGCGUAGAUAUCAGGAGGAACACCGGUGGCGAAGGCGGCUUACUGGGCUUUUACUGACGCUGAGGCUCGAAAGCGUGGGGAGCAAACAGGAUUAGAUACCCUGGUAGUCCACGCUGUAAACGAUGAUUACUAGGUGUGGGGGGACUGACCCCUUCCGUGCCGCAGUUAACACAAUAAGUAAUCCACCUGGGGAGUACGGCCGCAAGGUUGAAACUCAAAUGAAUUGACGGGG